rnacentral:tmRNA from 1 species
UUGGAAAUCAGAAUAGCCAUCUGCGGUUCGGUUCCGCAUAAAACAGCCGAAACUUAAAAAUAAACGCAAACGAUAAUUAUUCGUUAGCAGCAGCCUAACUGCUGCUUGUCGACCUUAGGCAACCCGUGACUUAAGACCUCGGCAUCAAAUGAACGGGACACUCUGCUUCCAAAGCUUUGAGGAGGCAGAAAAUAUAUGAAGCUACUAAAACGCAAAGCCUGUCAUUAGGCGCUGCGCAGAGGGAAUGUUAAAUUAAUGACUGUGAUGGAAGAAGUUUUGAUGAAAGAGCUUUCGGACGCGGGUUCAACUCCCGCCAGGUCCAUUA